AGAUCUGAGGGUGAUCUGGCUGCUACAUCUAUCACCCACUGAUCACCAGGGGUUGAGUCAGCUGAUCAGGCUAUCCAGAUGGGUAUCCCCUCCUUCCACCAAUGCUCCAUGUGCAUCCCUCUAGAAGCGGCAUGCUCCAUCAAAAAGGAUGACCUUCCCUGAUAGAAAAGGAUCAUUUUGGGGUCAAGGAUACUCCCCUGGUAAAACCUGCAACAAUCUCUCCAAGUCCAUUUGUAGAAGUACCUAGGGUAGUCAAGCUUCCAAGACUCCAGAUCUUUCUUUAAAAAAGAAAAAUUAA
rnacentral:snRNA from 2 species